UACUCAUGUCACAGUCCACUGUUCUGUACUGGCAACCUUGACUGCCUUCCAAAUCUGCCGUGCCCUUUCUCUCCUGCAGGUACAUGGCAUCAGAAGAAAAAAUGCGGAAACAGGACCUGCUAGGCCUGUAUCCCUGCUGCUAUAUUCCGUAACUCUGUCACUUGCCUUUGCCAUACUACAGAGGAUUUUUCAAGAUAAACUGAAGAACGUAUCAGCCUGCUCCUGGCUACAUGUGCACAUUGUGGUAGUGGUUGUGAGCAUCAGCUCUGAAACUGAUUCAGACAAACAGAAAUUAAAAUAAUAUCCUAUUUCCAGUUGUAA